AUGCCAAGCACUAAUAACUGUCAACAAAUGUCAGUAUAAACAAUACUAGUCUGAAACACAACACCAAUUGUCUGUAUGAUUCAAGCAUGAGGCAGAAGUGGAAAAUCAGGUCCAAAGCCAAGGAUAUCUUCAUUGUAUAAAAUGAUGAUUUUCACAAAUUUUUCAUCACAUGUAACUUUUUUUGAACUAAAUCAACUAGAAAUUAUCCAUUGAUUUAUCCCUCAGAAGAUAAAUGAUUAACACUAAAUAUUCACCACUAGUUUUUGUAAAACUGAAUUUGAUACCUUAGACCAAGAUAUUGCAAUGAUAUUCUUUAAAAAUUCCUUGAUCAUUCAGAAAAUUACUUGAAUUGCUACUUCAUUAUUUAUGAAAAAUAUGAGUUCAGGCAUUAUUUAGCCUGUCUUAUGCAUGCAUUUGUUUCUGAAAUACUUCAAACUUUUUUAAAUAUAAUCUAGUCAUGCUGAAGAACAAAACACUGGCUUGUGUUGCCAAAUAGUAGUACUUUCACUAUAUGUCCAUGAUCAGAGUUUCAAUGGGAACAAU
rnacentral:misc_RNA from 1 species